ACGGGAGGCAGCAGUAGGGAAUAUUGCACAAUGGGGGAAACCCUGAUGCAGCGACGCCGCGUGAAGGAUGAAGUAUUUCGGUAUGUAAACUUCUAUCAGCAAGGAAGAAAAUGACGGUACUUGACUAAGAAGCCCCGGCUAAAUACGUGCCAGCAGCCGCGGUAAUACGUAUGGGGCAAGCGUUAUCCGGAUUUACUGGGUGUAAAGGGAGUGUAGGCGGUACGGCAAGUCAGAAGUGAAAGCUCGGGGCUCAACCUCGGAAUUGCUUUUGAAACUGUCGAACUAGAGUGUCGGAGGGGUAAGCGGAAUUCCUAGUGUAGCGGUGAAAUGCGUAGAUAUUAGGAGGAACACCAGUGGCGAAGGCGGCUUACUGGACGACUACUGACGCUGAGGCUCGAAAGCGUGGGGAGCAAACAGGAUUAGAUACCCUGGUA
rnacentral:rRNA from 1 species